rnacentral:rRNA from 1 species
UACGAAGGGGGCUAGCGUUGCUCGGAAUCACUGGGCGUAAAGCGCACGUAGGCGGAUUGCUAAGUCAGGGGUGAAAUCCCGGAGCUCAACUCCGGAACUGCCUUUGAUACUGGCGAUCUUGAGUCCGGGAGAGGUGAGUGGAACUGCGAGUGUAGAGGUGAAAUUCGUAGAUAUUCGCAAGAACACCAGUGGCGAAGGCGGCUCACUGGCCCGGUACUGACGCUGAGGUGCGAAAGCGUGGGGAGCAACAGG